AGUGAACGCUGGCGGUAGGCCUAACACAUGCAAGUCGAACGGCAGCACAGUAAGAGCUUGCUCUUACGGGUGGCGAGUGGCGGACGGGUGAGGAAUACAUCGGAAUCUACUUUUUCGUGGGGGUUAACGUAGGGAAACUUACGCUCAUACCGCAUACGACCUACGGGUGAAAGCAGGGGAUCUUCGGACCUUGCGCGAUUGAAUGAGCCGAUGUCGGAUUAGCUAGUUGGCGGGGUAAAGGCCCACCAAGGCGACGAUCCGUAGCUGGUCUGAGAGGAGGGUCAGCCACACUGGAGCUGGGACACGGUCCAGACUCCUACGGGAGGCAGCAGUGGGGAAUAUGGGACAAUGGGCGGAAGCCUGAUCCAGCCAUACCGCGUGGGUGAAGAAGGCGUUCGGGUUGUAAAGCCCUUUUGUUGGGAAAGAAAAGCAGCAGGUUAAUACCCCGCUGUUCUGACGGUACCCAAAGAAUAAGCACCGGCUAACUUCGUG
rnacentral:rRNA from 1 species